ACUCAAAUGAAUUGACGGGGGCCCGCACAAGCAGCGGAGCAUGUGGUUUAAUUCGAAGCAACGCGAAGAACCUUACCAGAACUUGACAUCGUACGCAUUACCGGUAAAACGGGAAGUCCUUCGGGACGUAUAGACAGGUGGUGCAUGGUUGUCGUCAGCUCGUGUCGUGAGAUGUUGGGUUAAGUCCCGCAACGAGCGCAACCCUUAUUGUUAGUUGCCAUCAUUAAGUUGGGCACUCUAAUGAGACUGCCGGAGAUAAUUCGGAGGAAGGUGGGGAUGACGUCAAAUCAUCAUGCCCCUUAUGUUCUGGGCUACACACGUGCUACAAUGGGUAUAACAACGGGAAGCAAGGCAGUGAUGUCAAGCAAACCCCUAAAAAGUACCCUCAGUUCAGAUUGUAGGCUGAAACUCGCCUACAUGAAGUCGGAGUUGCUAGUAAUCGCGAAUCAGCAUGUCGCGGUGAAUACGUUCCCGGGCCUUGCACACACCGCCCGU
rnacentral:rRNA from 1 species